rnacentral:rRNA from 1 species
CCCGCUGAACUUAAGCAUAUCAGUAAGCGGAGGAAAAGAAACUAACUAGGAUUCCCGUAGUAACUGCGAGUGAAGUGGGACCAGCUCAAAUUUGUAAUCUGCACGACCCCGUUGUGCCGAAUUGUAAUCUAUAGAGGCGUCGACGACGGCGUGACCGGUGGUAUAGGUGUCUUGGAAAAGACCAUCAUAGAGGGUGACAAUCCCGUUCAUGACCACUGGGAGGCCGGCAAUGCGACGCACUCGACGAGUCGGGUUGUUUGGGAUUGCAGCCCCAAGUCGGUGGUAUACUCCAUCUAAAGCUAAAUACAGGCGAGAGACCGAUAGCGAACAAGUACCGUGAGGGAAAGAUGAAAAGAACUUUGAAAAGAGAGUUAAAAGUGCGUGAAAUUGUUAAAAGGGAAGCGAUUGAGGCCAGUGUGGCAGUUACGAGGUGCGGACUGACAGGCAGCUUAGUGAGGACGAGUGCAUCUCGCACCGGAUUCGCGGAGUGUCGCCGGUUAGAGCCGAUCACACCUGGUGACAGGCCAGUCAACGGCAGUUGGGGGCGGAGCAGACUGAGGCAGAAGGUGUUGAUGGGCUUCGGCUUGUCAAUUUAUAGCUGCCUCGAAGUUGGGUCGCUCCCUACUGAACAACUGGUGCGAGGUGGGUGUCUUUGGCGACAGGAGACCUGGUGAUGCUGGCUAGGCCAAGCCUUUCGGGGCUCGACUACCAGUCAGGAGGGCUACUGGUUGUCAGAGGUGCAGCCUCAUGUGCACGCGCGUUGACAAAAUGACCUUAACCGACCCGUCUUGAAACACGG